CCACCCUGGCUACAUGUCCCGCCUGCGCCGUGCGGCCCCACCAUCAACACUAUCCUUCACUCUAACCCGAGCCUCACUCUCACUCUACUCCAGCCAGUUCUCUUCCUCAUCAAUUCUCCUCUCACGGUUCAUACGAGUCCUCUUUCCUUGACAUGGUCUUUGUGAAGCUCCGUGUGUGGACCACGUAAUUUUGGGUUUUGAAGCACCGGCAGUGAUAGGCAAUUUUGAAAGUGAAAUAAAAUUAACACAGAGAUUUUGAGAUAGAAAUUCGAGAUCUAUGUGACCCAGGCUCAAACCUAUAGACCAACUUUAUCUCCGUCUAUCUCUUGUUCCCUUCUCUCUAUUCUUCGUUCUCAUCCUCUGUCUCACCAACUCCUAAAAUUUACCGUACCGUUCACCGGUGGGCUCCUGAAAGUGUACGUUCUGAGAUACGCGGUUCCAGCGAGUGUAUUGUGAUAGUCUCAACGAGACACGCACUCACCCUUAAGGAACGAGCCGGUUAUCAACACCAAACGAAAAACAAGGAGUACUUAAAAGGAAGUCUUACUGACGGAAGGAAAACGACUUCUGCUAGGAGACACAACCAAGGACCCAACAGGAUCCAACUUAUUUGCCACCAUGACCAGCACGCCCCCGCUCAGCAAGCUCCGGCUCUCCAGCUUCCUCUCACAAAGCUUCGAAGCCGCAGCCCAAACAGUUGAGAUAUGCAAAGGUUUUCAAAACUGCAGAGUUCCAUGUUGGCAAUGGUAAGUCCAAGCGAGUCUUUCAGCAACACUGCACACCACUGCUCGUCCUGCUUUUCUUGUGGAGUGUCCAGCUUCCGCGUCUUUCAAGGUACGGGCGACAGCUGCC